rnacentral:rRNA from 1 species
GAUGAACGCUGGCGGCGUGCCUAAUACAUGCAAGUCGAGCGAACAGACGAGGAGCUUGCUCCUUCGACGUUAGCGGCGGACGGGUGAGUAACACGUAGGUAACCUACCUAUAAGACUGGGAUAACUUCGGGAAACCGGAGCUAAUACCGGAUAAUAUUUCGAACCGCAUGGUUCGAUAGUGAAAGAUGGCUUUGCUAUCACUUAUAGAUGGACCUGCGCCGUAUUAGCUAGUUGGUAAGGUAACGGCUUACCAAGGCAACGAUACGUAGCCGACCUGAGAGGGUGAUCGGCCACACUGGAACUGAGACACGGUCCAGACUCCUACGGGAGGCAGCAGUAGGGAAUCUUCCGCAAUGGGCGAAAGCCUGACGGAGCAACGCCGCGUGAGUGAUGAAGGUCUUCGGAUCGUAAAACUCUGUUAUUAGGGAAGAACAAACGUGUACGUAACUGUGCACGUCUUGACGGUACCUAAUCAGAAAGCCACGGCUAACUACGUG